GUAUGCUUAACACAUGCAACGUCGAACGGUGUCUUCGGACAUAGUGGCGGACGGGUGAGUAACGCGUGAGAAUCUGCCUUCAGGAUGGGGACAACGACUGGAAACGGUCGCUAAAACCCAAUGUGCCGAGAGGUGAAAUAUUUAUAGCCUGAAGAUGAGCGCGCGUCAGAUUAGCUAGUUGGUAAGGUAAUGGCUUACCAAGGCGACGAUCUGUAGCUGGUCUGAGAGGAUGAUCAGCCACACUGGGACUGAGACACGGCCCAGACUCCUACGGGAGGCAGCAGUGGGGAAUUUUCCGCAAUGGGCGAAAGCCUGACGGAGCAAUACCGCGAGAGGGAGGAAGGCUCUUGGGUUGUAAACCUCUUUUGAUCGGGAAGAAGACAGUGACGGUACCGAUCGAAUCAGCAUCGGCUAACUCCGUGCCAGCAGCCGCGGUAAUACGGAGGAUGCAAGCGUUAUCCGGAUUUAUUGGGCGUAAAGCGUCCGCAAGUGGUUGAGCAAGUCUGCUGUCAAAGCGCGGAGCUUAACUCCGUAAAGGCAGUGGAAACUGUUUAACUUGAGUACGAUAGGGGUAGCGGGAAUUCCCAGUGUACGGUGAAAUGCGCUAAUAUUGGGAAGAACACCAGCGGCGAAAGCGCGCUACUGGGCCUGUACUGACCCUGA
rnacentral:rRNA from 1 species